rnacentral:lncRNA from 1 species
UUUAGAAGGAAUGUGGCUUGAUUGAGGUGCGUGCUUGAGGUGCGAUUUGAAAUUGAAAGAGGCUUGUUUAGAAAGAGUGAGCAACAUGCACCACGGUCAAACGUCAAGCUCAAGUAUAAAAAAAUGGCGGGGAAAAUGUGUGCCAAAAUAAUAGGAGUUAAAACGGGAAAAGGAAAGCGUUUACUAUAUAAGGAAACGGCUGAAGCUGUAGUCGUAAGUUAUAUACUGAGUGUA